AUGUACAUGCCUAUUUCAUAGCGUUAAUGCACCAAAUCCCAAUAGAACUACAUAGUUAAGCAUGCUCAGGCUACAAUAGUACUAAGAUAGGUGACCACCUAGGAAGUCCUAGUCUUUUACAUG
rnacentral:rRNA from 1 species